rnacentral:rRNA from 1 species
AACGAACGCUGGCGGCAGGCUUAACACAUGCAAGUCGAACGCCCCGCAAGGGGAGUGGCAGACGGGUGAGUAACGCGUGGGAACGUACCUUUCAGUUCGGAAUAACUCAGGGAAACUUGUGCUAAUACCGGAUACGCCCGCAAGGGGAAAGAUUUAUCGCUGAAAGAUCGGCCCGCGUUGGAUUAGCUAGUUGGUGGGGUAAAGGCCUACCAAGGCGACGAUCCAUAGCUGGUCUGAGAGGAUGAUCAGCCACACUGGGACUGAGACACGGCCCAGACUCCUACGGGAGGCAGCAGUGGGGAAUAUUGGACAAUGGGCGCAAGCCUGAUCCAGCCAUGCCGCGUGUGUGAUGAAGGCCUUAGGGUUGUAAAGCACUUUCACCGAUGAAGAUAAUGACGGUAGUCGGAGAAGAAGACCCGGCUAACUUCGUG